GCUUAGAGCCCACUGCAAAAGGAUCAGAUAUAACACAGAGGUGUUAUCCCUAAAGCCUCAUCACUCACAACCAUUAGUUCACAGAAAAAAUAAAAAAACAACUUAGGUCGCGGCGGCGUGGACCUAACCGUUCUGGCCUAAGUCACCGACGAUAGAAAAUCGGAACUGCGAAAACGAACCUACACCAUCUCCUCUCUCCUAAACGGAAUCGAAGACAAGCUCUCACCUAAAUGAAUCGACGUUACCGCGUGAUGGCUCUUCGACGGAAUGCACCGACGGCAAUGGCGGAUCGUCAGCGUUGAAUUCGGACCUAGGAACCUCACUCUUUGCUCGAUCUUCUUCCUUUCGUUAGGUCAUUCGUUAUGCGUAGCUCUAGUUCAGUUCUAAAGAGAGAAUCCGGUCGUGAAGAUUGGUUGAGCGUUGUUGAAAGCUGUUGAGAGAAUUGGUUAUUGGUUAGAGGUGAUUUCGGUGAGAGAUUUGAAGGUUGGUUGCGGUUCUGAUGAAGAGGAGUUUUGUGGCGUUGCAGAAGCGUGGCGAGCGGAGAUGAACCGCAGGGUAGAGGUUGUAGAAGAAGAAGAAAAGUUUGUUAGAGAUUGGUUCGGUGGUGUUUGAGGAAGAAGGAGAAGAAAAAGGAAAAGGAAUUCUGAAAAAAUUGGAGAGAAAUCGAAGAAGAAGAACUUCAUCGCUCAAACUUGUACUUAUAGCCUUCAACGAUUGAAUUUGGCGCUCUUUGUUGUGGUGAGCUGCGAAGCCGUUGCGUAAUUAUUUCAUGUUGCCGUUUACUUCAUUUGGAACCACUUUGGCUUAUGCAGGUUUUGGCGUAGCUUAUGGAUUGUUGUUUUUGGAUUGCGCACAGCUGGAUUUUAUGCAGUUGUGGCUUUGGCUUAGCUUCUGCUGCUUUUUUGCAGGUUUAUGCAGAUGACUUGUGCGUUUCAUGUUGCCACGCUUUGGAGCUUGUAGCUGCUUGAAGUGGCUUGCACUUGGUGUUGUGCCGUCUUUGGCUUCUUGACUGCAGCGUGGACUUUUCAUCGUUUGUACUGCUGGCUUUGUAGCCUUUAUGCUUGUUGUUGCACUUUUGUCGUUUCUGUUUGGGAUAUUAGAUAAAUGGGAUUGGUUAAAUGUAAUAAUGGAUUAUGUAUUUAGAAAAAUGGUUUAAUGGAUUAACUUGUGGGCUAUGACAUUUGGUUGGAUAA